AGAGUUUGAUCAUGGCUCAGGAUGAACGCUAGCGGCAGGCUUAAUACAUGCAAGUCGAGGGGGCAGCAAUGUCACCGGCGAACGGGUGCGUAACGCGUAUGCAACCUACCCAUAUCAGGGGGAUAGCCCUAGGAAACUGGGAUUAAUACCGCAUAACAUAGAGAACGGCAUCGUUUUUUAUUAAAAGAUUUAUCGGAUAUGGAUGGGCAUGCGUAGGAUUAGCUAGUUGGUAGGGUAACGGCUUACCAAGGCUAUGAUCCUUAGGGGCUCUGAGAGGAGUAUCCCCCACACUGGCACUGAGAUACGGGCCAGACUCCUACGGGAGGCAGCAGUAGGGAAUAUUGGGCAAUGGAGGCAACUCUGACCCAGCCAUGCCGCGUGCAGGAAGAAGGUCCUCUGGAUUGUAAACUGCUUUUGAAUGGGAAGAA
rnacentral:rRNA from 1 species